CCCUGCCAUUUGUACACACCGCCCGUCGCUGCUACCGAUUGGAUGGUCCGGUGAAAUCCUCGGAUAGCGAAGAAUCCUUUAAUUCGUAAGAAUUGAAGUUCAUUGUUAGAAGUUGAUUAAACCUUAUCAUCUAG
rnacentral:rRNA from 1 species